ACCCUUCGGAUAGUGUUCCAUCUUGACAUCCUGCAGGAUGUCCCAACAUGACAUGAGUGCUUGGUUGGAGCCUCAAAGGAAAGAGCAUAGACAGAAAAACAUUGUGGAAAGGAAACUAGGCCCCUAGGAGAACUCAUCAUUAGAUUCUAAUCUUGAUUGCAUUUGACAGAAAGCCAGUACCAGAUCCUACUCCUUAUUAUUUUAGAUAAAAGAGUGUUAUCUUUAGAAUGGAGGAGGAGCAUUAGACAUGUAAAAAUGAUGUAGCACAGCCUUGAUUAGGGAAAUUCAGGAAUGCUUAAUGGGUUGUUUUUGGCUAAAAGGGUAAGGAAAUUAUGUAAGAAGCGAGGUUUAUGUUAGUAUAUGGAUGGGGUACAAUUUAUGUGCAAGAUAGAGGCAAAAAGAUGAUAUUUUGAGGGUUUAGUGUGAGCUGGAAGUAGAGAAACGGGAAUAAAAAAUUUGUUUGUUUUGCGAAUUUGAAAGCUAAUUGAUGGAUGGGUAUCUAUGAGUUUUGUUGCUUUGGGUUGCUAGGGUUCAGUGGGUUUGGAAUCAAAUCUGAUUUCAGAUUUUAGGGUGCUGUAAUUAAAGAUAAAGAAGAAGAAAAGACAGAUUUUCUAGGCAUCACACAUAGAAUCCUGUAGGCAUCACACCGAGGGUUAGAAAUGCAUCAUAGAACUCUAAAAGAAGGCAGUUGCUUACGAAAAAUCUCUACAACUUUUGACUGUCCCCAUAAUGCAAGAUUGUAGCCUCAUUUAUAGAGUUCUAAUACUCCUACACCUACUAGGACUUGGACUCCAAACAACAAAUCCAUAACUUUGACUAAAAACCAUAAAUAAAUCCCCAAAAACAAAUAGACCUAACAUACAGACCACGAGUCAUAUGACAGCUCAUGCCCAGAAAAUCUAGAAAAUUACAAAAAAUAUCCCUGACUCUAAAAACUUAAAGAACAUUCAUAAAACUGUACCAGCAUUAUAGUAAUGCUGAGAAACGUAAAAUUAAGAUUCUAUAAUGACAAAUUGGUCCUAAUCAAGAUCCCAGAUGUCCCCACAUCAUCCAAAACAUUCCAAAUCAAAGCUUAAUCAUUAGAACCGGUCUUAGAAAACCUUUUAUAAGGCUUCAGUGGCUGCUGCCAAUGUCUUCCAUCAGAAAAUUUUACCAUGGAAAAAAUAUUGGCAUACUUACAAAGGUUUUCGGACUCUAGCACAUUAAGUUAUUGGAACUUUCUUAUGGAUGCACCUGAAGGCAUCAAAUAGAAAGGAUGCAUUUAUUAUAUUAAAAGUCUUUCAAGUUGAACCGAAGAGUUGAGAAAUCAUGACACAUCUAUUAGGACCACCAUUCAACUAUUUUUCCAAGCGAUCCUUACCACUUGUCCUGCUAUAAAAGAGGAGUUAUUACCAUGCACAAUUGGUUUGUGAAUGAGAUGCAUAAGAGCUAUCAACAUGCACAAUUAAUAUGCACAAUGAAGGUUCUGGGAGACAAUCUCAAAAAUAAUUUGAUCAAUAUUUAUGAGUGUUAUGCCAUUACUGCCGCAUUAGAGUAUAACAUGCUUACAUGUUAAUAUUUCCCAUGUGAUUAGUAGCAAGGGGCAUUUCAUCCAGUUCCAACAUUAUUGGAAUCCCUUAAACAUUUGUGUGCAAAAAUGCAAAAUGGAAAAAGGUACCAUGCUUUUUACAGAUAACUCACAAAAAUUUGACAUAAAUGUGAUGCCCUCUAAUUUGAAUUUCAUGUUCUUGGAUAUCAACUAUGGUUAUUAAGAAUAUCCAAAAUCUUAAUUAGAAUUUUGUAAAAGAACAUUGUUGCUCCUAGAUUGAUUUUGAUGAUUACAAAGCAGAUUGAAGGGAUACAAAUAAUUUUAAAAUGAAAAAGUCCUUAUGCUCUUCAAGGGCAAAAUCGUAAUUUCACUAAAAUCCUGAUUUGAU
rnacentral:lncRNA from 1 species